rnacentral:rRNA from 1 species
AUGGAUAGAGCGAAUAUAAAUUUCCUAUGCUGGAACGUUCGAGGGCUCAAUUCCGGAGCCCGUCGUGAUGCUGUUAGGAGCAUGGUUGUAGAUUCUCAUGCCACCAUUGUAGGUUUCCAAGAGACUAAAAUUGAACAAUUUUCUUCUGCACUUUUAAUGCAAUGCCUAGGACCCAAAUUUGAUGGGUACGCUUAUUUGCCUGCUAUGGGAACAAGGGGUGGUUUGCUGGUCGCGUGGGACUCGGCGUUGAUCCAGGGUGAUUCGAUUAAAAUCGGUGAGUUCUCUGUCACCGUACGGUUUCACUGGGAUUCUCUUGAUCCGUUUUCGACCACUGUUGUAUAUAUUUUUUUUUGA